UACGUAGGGUGCAAGCGUUGUCCGGAUUUAUUGGGCGUAAAGAGCUCGUAGGCGGUCUGUCGCGUCGGAUGUGAAAUCCCAGGGCUCAACCUGGGAACUGCAUUUGUGACUGCAUGGCUAGAGUUUGGCAGAGGGGGGUAGAACUCCACGUGUAGCGGUGAAAUGCGUAGAUAUCGGGAGGAACACCGGUGGCGAAGGCGGCCUUCUGGACGGAUACUGACGCUGAGACGCGAAAGCGUGGGGAGCAAACAGG
rnacentral:rRNA from 1 species